CCAGACUCCUACGGGAGGCAGUAGUGAGGAAUAUUGGUCAAUGGGCGCGAGCCUGAACCAGCCAAGUCGCGUGAGGGAAGACGGCCCUACGGGUUGUAAACCUCUUUUGUCGGGGAGCAAAGCGAACCACGUGUGGUUCAUUGAGAGUACCCGAAGAAAAAGCAUCGGCUAACUCCGUGCCAGCAGCCGCGGUAAUACGGAGGAUGCGAGCGUUAUCCGGAUUUAUUGGGUUUAAAGGGUGCGCAGGCGGAAUGCCAAGUCAGCGGUAAAAUCGCGGGGCUCAACCUCGCUCCGCCGUUGAAACUGGCGUUCUUGAGUGGGCGAGAAGUAUGCGGAAUGCGUGGUGUAGCGGUGAAAUGCAUAGAUAUCACGCAGAACUCCGAUUGCGAAGGCAGCAUACCGGCGCCCAACUGACGCUGAAGCACGAAAGCGUGGGGAUCGAACAGGAUUAGAUACCCCCGUACAU
rnacentral:rRNA from 1 species